UUGCUUCAGUGGCACACAUACUAAAACUAGAACCAUAGAGAAAAGACUAGUAUGGCCCUGGCACAAAGAUGAGGCACAAAUCUGGGAAGCAUUCCAUAUUUUU
ensembl:snRNA U6 U6 spliceosomal RNA